GACGAACGCUGGCGGCGUGCUUAACACAUGCAAGUCGAACGGAAAGGCCCCUUCGGGGGUACUCGAGUGGCGAACAGGUGAGUAACACGUGAGUAACCUGCCCUUGACUUCGGGAUAACUUCAGGAAACUGGGGCUAAUACCGGAUAGGAAUCCUUGCUGCAUGGUGGGGGUUGGAAAGCUUCGGCGGUUUUGGAUGGACUCGCGGCUUAUCAGCUUGUUGGUGGGGUAGUGGCUUACCAAGGCUUUGACGGGUAGCCGGCCUGAGAGGGCGACCGGCCACAUUGGGACUGAGAUACGGCCCAGACUCCUACGGGAGGCAGCAGUGGGGAAUAUUGCACAAUGGGCGGAAGCCUGAUGCAGCAACGCCGCGGGCGGGAUGACGGCCCUCGGGUUGUAAACCGCUUUCAGCAGGGGCGAAGCUUGUGGUGACGGUACCUGCAGAAGAAGCACCGGCUAACUACGUG
rnacentral:rRNA from 1 species